UGUGGUUGUGGUGCUUUUGGCUGUUUUUCUACCGCUCCUACACAAGUGGAAGAAAAGAGGAAGCUCUAAUAAUGUGAACAGCAGGGCCCCCUUAACCAGCACAAACAUGGAGCCUGUCUAUGAGAAUUCUGCUCCAGUCUCCACAUUGGAAGACUACGAGAACGUCAAUCCAUCCUCCACCUACGAGACCCUUAAUCCAAUCACUAUGGAUGACCAGACGUACAGCACACUCAAUCGUGCCACACAGGAAUAGUUGUGGUUUAUUUUGAGGACAUCUUCCUUCUGUGAUCUAAAAUAUCUCAAUCUAUUAUUUGCCUGUGCUCUGUACUGUUUUACAUUUUUGUUAAUACUUUU